UCCCUGGUGGCUCAGACGGUAAAAGUAUCUGCCUGCAAUGCGGGAGACCCGGGUUUGAUCCCUGGGUCGGGAA
rnacentral:tRNA from 1 species